rnacentral:rRNA from 1 species
UGAGGAAUUUUCGGCAAUGGAGGAAACUCUGACCGAGCAACGCCGCGUGCAGGAUGACGGCCUUCGGGUUGUAAACUGCUUUUCUCUGGGACGAGUAAGGACGGUACCAGAGGAACAAGCCCCGGCUAACUACGUGCCAGCAGCCGCGGUAAUACGUAGGGGGCGAGCGUUGUCCGGAGUUACUGGGCGUAAAGCGCACGCAGGCGGUCUGCUAAGUUUGCAGUGACAGUUUUCGGCUCAACCGAGAAAGUGCUGUGAAAACUGACAGACUUGAGGGCUUCAGAGGGACACGGAAUUCCGGGUGGAGUGGUGAAAUGCGUAGAGAUCCGGAGGAACACCGAAGGCGAAGGCAGUGUCCUGGGGAGUACCUGACGCUCAGGUGCGAAAGCCAGGGGAGCGAACGGGAUUAGAUACCCCCGUAGUCC